rnacentral:rRNA from 1 species
GUCUAUGGCCAUGCCACCCUGAACACGCCCGAUCUUGUCUGAUCUCAGAAGCUAAGCAGAGUUGGGCCUGGUUAGUAUUUGGAUGGGAGACCACCUAGGAAUACCAAGUGCUGUAGGCA